CAAACAUGCAGAACGUUUCCUUUUUGCUGCUUUCCGUUUCGUUAGGGGAUUCUGCUAGGGAAUUUCGGGUGUACAAAUAGCCGCUGUGCCGUAUAUUGAAGCUGACUGAUAACUGCAGCCUGCCUUAGUAUGCAUCUAAAUACUAUGUGGUUAUAAGCAGCAGGUUCCAGAACUCGUCCAUAAUGAGAAUGAAACUUAUCUCGGUCUGCACAGGCACUCAGCAGAAGCAGAACAUCUUUAUUGGAUUCGACCGCAACUUAGCAGUUUAUCCUGCUUCCCUUGCCAGUAAUCGAGUCGGGCUUCCGGGACAACAGCAAGCUAAUUGAAUAACAACGAUAACAACCGAUAUUCAAAAGUCAUAAAUCAGGUGUUGACCUAUGGAACUUUAUACCACGCACAUCAUUUACCAAUGUAAGCAAAGCAACACAAUAGGAAAGAGCAAGUGGAAAUAUACGACAGCAUGCUAACCGUAACGCAUUCCCGCAUUCAACGUAGACAUGAGGAGUGAACUGCCGACAUUGUCCCAAAAGGUCCGUGAUAUUUCGAUCAAGAUUCAACAUGCAAGCAGAAAAUAAGAGACACCUGAUAAC